rnacentral:rRNA from 1 species
UACGGAGGAUGCAAGCGUUAUCCGGAAUGAUUGGGCGUAAAGCGUCCGCAGGUGGCUAUGUAAGUCUGCUGUUAAAGAGUGAGGCUCAACCUCAUAAGAGCAGUGGAAACUACAUGGCUAGAGUGCGUUCGGGGCAGAGGGAAUUCCUGGUGUAGCGGUGAAAUGCGUAGAUAUCAGGAAGAACACCGGUGGCGAAAGCGCUCUACUGGACGGUGACUGACACUCAGGGACGAAAGCUAGGGGAGCGAAUGGG